rnacentral:misc_RNA from 1 species
AAUGCUUACUCGCCGGGAAGGUCUGGGUUGGACACCCCAGCUUCGUCGGCACGAAACUCUUUUGAGCCACAUCCAAUGGUUGCUGAAGCCUGGGAUGCUCUACGCCGUUCCAUGGUUCACUUUCGAGGCCAACCAGUUGGUACAAUUGCUGCAGUGGAUCAUGCUGCUGAGGAAGUCCUCAAUUAUGAUCAGGUCUUUGUUCGAGAUUUUGUUCCUAGCGCUCUGGCCUUCCUGAUGAAUGGAGAGCCUGAUAUAGUUAAGAACUUCCUGUUGAAGACACUACAGCUUCAAGGG